CUUUCGCAUGCGCAUGUGUUGUUUACAGGAAUGUCACGUAUUCCUCGUACAAAAAACACACAGUAAAUGCAGUGGCAUGCAAAAGUCUUCCAUUAUGGAGGAUUCAGUGGAGGUCAUCCUACAGCAUAAAAGUUGCAAGCUCUCCAAUAAUGCUCAGGAAAAGCCACUUGUCACAGCAGCAUCUGGUGCUUUGCUUGUGGGAGCUUAUGGCCUCUGGUCAUUAUUUGCACUUCCUGGUUUUCGGAAAGUACCCAUAUGUCUCAAGGUGCCGUAUUUGCCCUCCAGUAGUACACAGACCCAGAAUGUACUGAAACUCCUGCAUGGGAGAGCAGGGUGUCUGGCAGAUCUGGGAUCUGGUGAUGGGAGACUGGUAUUUGCUGCCACUGUAGAGGGUUUCCAGUGCACUGGCUUUGAAAUCAAUUCUAUCCUAACUGGAUAUGCCAGAAUCAAAGCAAAGUGGAAAGGAAUACCAUCCAGCUCUGCGACUUUUAUAAACCAGGACUUUUGGAAGACCGAUUUGUCCAAAUAUAACAAUGUGACUGUUUUCUUGGCACCCGGAGUGAUGGAGGUGUUGGGUAGGAAACUGGAGAAGGAGUUACCAGAUGAGGCUCGUGUGAUUGCCUGUCGCUUCCCAUUUCCUGACUGGACUCCCACAGCCACUGAGGGUGAAGGACUAGACCAGACUUGGGCAUAUGAUAUAAAAGAUAUACACAAACUACCAUGAGAUGAAAAAGCAUCUUCCCUUGUGUCAAAAAGCUUUCUGUUUUGCAUUUUAGCGCUGCCUGAAAGGGACUGCAUUUUUUCCCUUUUCUGUUACUGCAGAGUCAAGAAGCUCAAGCCCUGAUGUUGGACAGGCCAAAAUACCAAUUUUAAUGGGGGAUACUGAUAUUUGAAAUGUUUUAAGCUAUGCUAUUUGAAUUAUAUUUUAGGUAAUAGUUUAUCUAGCAUGUUUAGUAGUUAUUAUAUUUCAAAAACGUAUCAAAAUGCUUUAAAAAGGGAACAUGCAAGGUGUUGUGUGUCACUUUGGCCACAUGGUGAUGCUCUGACACUCUUCCGUGAAUCAGACGGUUUCAAUGUCUUUACCAUCGUACAAAUGUCUUUACCAUCGUUCAUUUAGCUUAUUGAACCACAAUACAUUGGCAACAUCA